rnacentral:lncRNA from 1 species
GGACCUCCACACACACACAGGUGAGCAUGAGGAGGUUUUUCAGAGCACACAGGGACGAGGACUGCAGCCAGAUCCAGUACCUGACGGCCAAGUGCACCCGCCUGGCUCAUGACAAAGCAGUGCUGGACAGGGACUUCCUGGUGAGCAGAGAGCGGGAGAGGAAGCUGCAGAAUGACCUGGAAGCUCUGGCAGCUCAGUUUCUCCUACAGCAGCAGGAGAACAUGGAGCUCAGGAUGAACCAGGACCAACUCAUCAGCAGGAUCCGCCAGCAGCAGGACGUGGCGGACAUGCUGCAGCAGCGCUUGGGCCUUCUGGUGCAGGAAAGCUCUCGGGAUGCGGAGCUGCUCCAGCAGGUUGGCUCGGAGCUGCUGUGUCUGCAGAGCUCCGAGGUUCAGCUUGAGGGCCUGGUGGCGGAGCUGCACGCCGAGGCCCGGCACAGGGCUGCGGUGGCUGAAGACCUCCAGGCAGAGCUGCAGGCUGAGGCCCAGCGCAGAGCCGCACUGACAGAGAGCCUCCACAUGGAGCUGCACGGUAAGACGUUACAGGUUGAGGAGCUACAAGACGCCAACAGAUCUCUGACUGCAGAGCUGGAGGAUCUGCACAGAGCUCAUCAGAAGGAGGUGAGAGAACUGCGGCAGGAGAACGAGGGAAGUCUGAAGAAGCUACAGGAGACAGCGGAGCAGUUUGAGUGGCUCUGUCAGCAGCAGCGUUACUGGAUGUGCUGUGUCAAGAGGUUCAAAGACGGCCAGAUGGAGGAGAGAGACGCUCUGCUGCAGCAGGUCAGCGUGCUGGAGAAGGAAGCUGAGAAACUGAGGAAGCGUUCCUGUGACAACAGUCCGACACAGAGCCGCCACUGCCCCCUGCAGGACACUGAGAGCUGUGACAGAAUUGCAUCAUGGGACGAAGACGCAGCGGCUGACUUGGAGUCUCAGGUGGAGAAGUCAAACCUCCUGUACCAGAACCCUCAGAUGAACCUUCAUUUAUUCGAAAUCUGGUGCUGAUCUCAGCACUGAAAGAGAAGUCAUCCAAACAUCAGAG